ACUACGUCGGGCCGAAGAAGGAGGAGAAGAGGGAGGUGGUGAUCGAGGCGGAGAGGAAGAGGCAGAUUUUCCUCGACUGCCACUUCAACGACAUCGGUCAUCACCUCGGCUAGAAGAAGACCGUGCACCGAAUCCAGAGCAAGUACUACUGGCUGGGCAUCAUCAAGGACGUGGUGGACUGGAUCAAAGUGUGUGACACCUGUCAGCACACAGAAAGGAGUAAAAACCUGGCCAGGACGGUCCGGCCCAUUAAAGUGGACGCACCUUGGGAGAUCGUUGGGAUCGACAUUAUAGGGCCUUUCCCAGAGACGCAGCAGGGGAACUCUAACGUCAUAGUGCUCAUCGAUUACUUCAGUAAAUGGCCCGAAGCUUUUCCGGUUCAGAGGACGGACGCUCUCUCUGUCGCAAAAUGUAUUUCCAAAUGCAU